rnacentral:rRNA from 1 species
AGUUCGGAUCGGAGUCUGNAACCCGACNCCGUGAAGCUGGAUUCGCUAGUAAUCGCGCAUCAGCCAUGGCGCGGUGAAUACGUUCCCGGGCCUUGUACACACCGCCUGUCAAGCCAUGGAAGCCGGGGGUGCCUGAAGUGUGCAGCCGCAAGGAGCGCCCUAAGGUAAAACCGGUGACUGGGGCUAAGUCGUAACAAGGUAGC